rnacentral:pre_miRNA from 1 species
GGUGGGGGGGAGGGCCCUCAGCCUGGAUUGUAAGAGGGCACAGGCCAGGCCGAGGGACCCCACUGGUGCACG